UACGGGGGGGGCAAGCGUUGUUCGGAAUUACUGGGCGUAAAGGGCUUGUAGGUGGCCAACUAAGUCAGACGUGAAAUCCCUCAGCUUAACUGGGGAACUGCGUCUGAUACUGGAUGGCUUGAGUUUGGGAGAGGGAUGCGGAAUUCCAGGUGUAGCGGUGAAAUGCGUAGAUAUCUGGAGGAACACUGGUGGCGAAGGCGGCAUCCUGGACCAACACUGACACUGAGGAGCGAAAGCCAGGGGAGCAAACAGG
rnacentral:rRNA from 1 species